rnacentral:rRNA from 1 species
AUUGAACGCUGGCGGCAUGCUUUACACAUGCAAGUCGAACGGUAACAGGCCUUCGGGUGCUGACGAGUGGCGAACGGGUGAGUAAUGCAUCGGAACGUACCCAGAGGUGGGGGAUAACGCAGCGAAAGCUGUGCUAAUACCGCAUGUGAUCUGAGGAUGAAAGCGGGGGACCGAGCAGCAAUGUUUGGCCUCGCGCCUUUGGAGCGGCCGAUGUCGGAUUAGCUAGUUGGUGGGGUAAAGGCCUACCAAGGCGACGAUCCGUAGCUGGUCUGAGAGGACGACCAGCCACACUGGAACUGAGACACGGCCCAGACUCCUACGGGAGGCAGCAGUGGGGAAUUUUGGACAAUGGGCGCAAGCCUGAUCCAGCAAUGCCGCGUGCGGGAAGAAGGCCUUCGGGUUGUAAACCGCUUUUGGCAGGAACGAAACGGUGUCCGCUAAUACCGGGCGCUAAUGACGGUACCUGCAGAAUAAGCACCGGCUAACUACGUG